rnacentral:rRNA from 1 species
UACAGAGGAGCCAAGCGUUGUCCGGAUUGACUGGGCGUAAAGCGCACGCAGGCGGGGGUGCGCGUGGGGUGUGAAAUCUGGCCGCUUAACGGCCAGGCGCCAUCCCAUACGGCACGCCUGGAGCCUUGCAGAGGUCGGUGGAAUUGCCGGUGUAGUGGUGAAAUGCGUAGAGAUCGGCAGGAACACCCAGGGGGAAACCAGCCGACUGGGCAAGUGCUGACGCUGAGGUGCGAGAGCGUGGGGAGCGAACAGGG